ACGCGGAGCCCCACGCCUCCUCCGCCAACAAAAGCAGGUUCUGUUCCAUGAGCUGGAGGGACUCGCCCCGUGCCGGCCUCUCCUGGACCAGGCGCCCCUCCUGCCUGCUUCGGGGCCCAGCCAGCCAGAGAGGGCCUGUGAGUGGCCAUCGCCACCUGGCAGGGCCUUGAGGACAGGGUUCCUCCCAGCUCUCUGCCCUCAGCGCUGCCCAGGCCAGGCUCCUGCUGGGAACUUGACCAUGACCUUGGAGGGCUCUUCUGGAAGCCGCCGUACCAGGUGGGAACUUGUUCCACAUAGGCGGGCCACGGGGUGGACGGGGAGAUGGGCCCCAGGGAGCUGGGUGAGCACCCCAGGCUGUCAGGCCCCCACGGAUCCCAGGGCCUGAGAAAGGUCAGGUGCUCAGUGAGGCUUUGGGCUGGGUCCCCAGCCCAGGGACCUGACUUUCCCUCCUGCCCCUUGGACACUGGAAGUGGCUCCCUUUGGGGACCUUUGUGGUGGGGCAGCCUCUGUCCUCUGCUCAUGUCUCUGCCCCCCAGGCCUCCCUGCCCCUCUGGACUAGAUGAGCAGACCCCCCCCCCCGGCCGCCCGGGCCUCCCUGCCCCCUCUACUCUCGUCCCUUCCCAGCCACCACCAGCCCAGCCCCAGUCCCACCCCCGCCAGCCACACGUCUCCCCUCUAUCUCUACCCACUUGCCAACCUGUCACCUGCAACCUGGCCCCCUCCCUCUUCCUCCCCUGCCCUCCAGCCAGAGCCCACCAGGAGGAGUCAAGGCCCUGCCUGUCUGCUAAAGGGUUGCUGCUCCCUGCACGAGAGAAGGGGCUGCACUCCGAGCCCACCCCUCUGGGGCUCUCCAGGCCCCGCCACCCCACGCAGGGCUGAGGGGGAGGCGGGCACUUAGCUUGCAGGUGGGCAGACACAUGGCUGCUGGCCAGCCCCCCCCAACCAUGUGCGCCCUCCCUGGCCUGGUCUGGAGCCCGAAGCCCCGUCUCAGGGAGCUUCCUGGCUCCCAGCCCCAGCCUCCCCUCUGAAGUGGGCUGUGUGGUGGCCCCUCUACCCCCACACCGUGCCCACCCCGGCCCUGGCCCUGGUCCUCGUGGGGUGCAGGAGCGGCAUGCUGCGCAGACGGGCCCUGGAGGAGGACAGCGCUGUCCUGAUCGCCGUGGGCCCUUGGGGCAGAGCAGGCCGAGUCCUUUGGGAGCACGGGGAACAGCCCAGAGGGAACUGCUCAGCGUCCCGCCUCCCGGGCCCAGACUCAGCUGCUGGCCAUUUAGGACGUAGACACGGGACCCGAAGACCGUGGCCCCGAGAGUUUGGGGGCAGAUGCCACGCCCACUGCAUCUUCCCUCCCGCAACCCCGGCAACCCCCAAGUCUCCCCUGUCCUUAACCCUCAGGGUGGGCUCCCGGCGCCGAGCGAGGGGAGCAGAGCUGGGCCACAGAGCCUCUGGCCGAUGUGACCCUAAAAACAGAAAAGAAAGCACAGAAGAACUACCAGUGCGGGUCCUGGAUGCUGCCAUUCUUCCUCUCUCCUGCCAGCCAGCUGGACACCAGGCGGCCGCCAGUGCGGGAGGCCCUGCCACACCCUGGAUGGGUGAGCCUCGCCCAGCAUCUGCCAGCGGUGCACAUGUUGGUGCUGGGGGUGGGAACAUGGUCGCGGUGCCCACGGGUGGAGGAACCAGGCCCCCUUCCUCACUGAGCGCCAGCUGCUGUGCGGAGGGUGGGGUGAGCCUGCAGGAAAGGGGUGCCCUGGUGCAGGGUGGAGCUGGCUGGCAGAGGGGGCCUCCCUCCUGCUCUGGCCUCGGGACAAACUCAAGUCACCUCAAACUCUCGCCUCCUGAAACCACAUUUCCUCUACCCUGAAAAGCCACCAGAGCCGCUUCUCACUCCCCACCUCACUGCUCUGCCCACCGCGAGUUCCGCGCCAGCGCCCACCCACCUGGGCUCCCAGCCCACCUGCCGACCAGCUCCCCCGCACUCGUCAGGAUGGCUGUUAUUUAAACAGCAAAAAAGCAAAAAACACGUGCUGGUGAGGAUGCGGCACAAUAGGAGCGUCCGGCACGGCUGGGUGGGGGUGAGCUGGGGCGGCAGAUCCAGUCACAAACCCAGAGGGUUGCCGAGGACCCGGCCGACCCGCUUCCAGGCCGACACCCAAGGGGUGAUGGCGACCUUUUGGUGGUUUUCCUUUUCAAGGCGUUUUGACUAACGCAGCAGUGAAAUCGAGAACGAGAGUUGGUGGGCGGGGCGUUUCCAGGUCCUACGGCAGCUCCAAGUUCAACACUUUAAAGGGUCGCCGAAAAGGUUUCCAAAGUGACGACGCCCUUUCCACCCACCGCCAGCGUGCGAGGGUCCGUGUGUCCGUCCGGCACUCUCGUCCGUCUUCGCAGGACGCCGUCCUGGGGGGCGUGGAGUGCGUCUGUCUCACUGUGGGCGUCACUGCUCCUCCCCAGUGACUGAUGGGACUGGGCAUAUACUUCCGUGGGCGCACUGGCAACUUGAAUAUGUUCUUCGGAGAAGUGUCCAUGCAAAAUCUUUGCUGUUUUAUCCUCUGAAAAUCGGGCACUUUGUCCCUUUAUCAUUCAGUUGUAAAAGUUCCUUAUAUAUUCUGGAUACAAGUCCCUUGUCAGAUGUGUGAUUUGCGUAUUUCUUCUCCCGUUCUGUGGGCUGCCUUUUCACUUGUUUCUUCUUUUUCGGCCACGCCUGCCGCAUGUGGAAGUUCCUGAGCCAGGCAGGGAUCAAAUCCACAGCUGUGGCAAUGCCUGACCCUUCACCUGUUGCGCCACAGCAAGAACUCCUGCCUUUUCACUUUCUUGAUGACAUCCUUUGAGGCAGGUAGGGUCUAAUUUUGAUGAAGCCCAUCUUAUCAAUCUUCUCUUUUAUUGCUGUGCUUUUGGUGUCAUAUCUAAGAAAUCACUGUCUAAAACAGGCCAUUAAGACUUAAAACUAGGAGUUCCCGUCAUGGCUCAGUGGUUAACGAAUCUGACUAGGAACCAUGAGGUUGUGGGUUCAAUCCCUGGUCUUGCUCAGUGGGUUAAGGAUCCGGCAUUGCUGUGAGCUGUGGUGUAGGUUGCAGGUGCAACUCGGAUCCCGCAUUGCUAUGGCUCUGGUGUAGGCCGGCAGCUGUAGCUCUGAUUGGACCCCUAGCCUGGGGACCCCCAUAUGCCGUGGGAGCGGCCCAAGAAAUGGAAAAAAGAAAAAAAAAAACUUAAAACUAGAGGGCGUUCCCGUCGUGGUUCAGCGGAAACAAAUCCAACUAGCAUCCAUGAAGAUGUGGGUUCGAUCCCUGGCCUCGUUCAGUGGGUUAAGGAUUCGGCAUUGCUGUGGCUGUGGUGUAGGCCGGCGGCUACAGCUCCUGUUCGACUCCUAGCCUGGGACCCUCCAUAUGCUGCAGGUGAGGCCCUAAAAAGACAAAACAAAACAAGACUUACAGCUAAUGGAGUUCCUGCUGUGGUGCAGUGGGUUAAGAACCUGUCAGCAGGCACGGGAGGUGAGGGUUCAAGCAGCUGUGGUGAUGCCAGACCCUUCCCCGCUGCCCUGGGCCAGGAGCCAAGUGCUUCUGAAGUGACCCAAGCUGCUGCAGUUGGACUCUGAACUUGCUGAGCCACAGCGGGAACUCCCUGUAGUGAAUUCUUUCAGAUUUUCUGUGUACGAGAUCAUGUCUUCUGUAAAGAGAGAUCAUUUUACUUUCAUGCUCACCUGUCUGUCUGUCUGUCUGUCCUUCAUGGUGUGUGCAUCCGGGCUGGCACACCUGCACGUCACCUGAGAGGACUGCCUUCCGCCUGGAGACGGUCCCUUCAUAUUCCCGCACAGCUUGUGUCUGGGACUAAAUGUCUCGGGUUUGCAUUGUCGGAGGAUGUCUUCAUUUAGCUUUCAUUUCUUUUUCUAUUUUCUUUUUUCCCUUUUUUGGCUGCACUCAAGGCAUACGAAAGUUUCUGGGUCGGGGACUGAAUCCAUGCCACGGCUGUGACCUACUCCACCGCCGUGGCAACACCAGAUCCUUCAACCCCCUGCACCAGGCCAGGGGUCCAGCCUGCGUCUCUGCAGCAGCCUGAGCCUCUGCAGUCGGAUUCUUAACCCACCGCGCCACGGCGGGAGCUCCUAGCCUUCAUUUCUGAGGGAUGUCUUCGCAGGAUGGAGACGCCCAGUUCACAGCCUUUUCCUCAGCCGUUUGAAGGUGCCGUUCCGUUGUCUUUUGGCCUCCACUGUUUCAGCUGAAACAUCAGGUGUCUAUAUUAUUGUUUUUCCCUGAAAAAUAAUGUUUUUACCCUCUUGCUGCUUUUAAGAUUUCUCUUUAUCUUUUACGCAGCAAACACAGCAAAGGUUCGCUGCGCGGUGAGUUUCCUAGGUGUAGUGUUUUAAUCCUGUUUAGAGCACACUGAGCUUUUUGAGUCUUUGAACUAAUUUAUCUCAUCAGAUUUGGAAACUCUGAACAUUCUUGCUCGGCGAUCGCUUCUUUGCCACCGUCUCCUGGUUCUCGGAUGACAGUCGCCGGGCCCUCCAGCCGAGACCCUCUUCUCCCUGUUCUGUUCUUCCAUCCUUUUUGCUCCGAGCUUCAUUUUUCCUGCCAUUCUGCCCUUCAGCUUGGCAAUCCUGUCUUCUGUGGAGACUAGCAUCUUGUUAAACUGGUCCGACAAGUUCAUAAUGUCAUAUGCUGUGUUUUGCUCGUUUAUUUUAGUUUCUGGCCACAAUCGCAGCAGGGAAGUUUCCUGGACCAGGGAUCAAACCCUCGCCACACAAGUGACCACGCUGGGUACUUAACCCACGGAGCCAGCAGGGAGCUUCAUGUUUUGCUAUUUUAGGCCGUUCAUUUGAUUUUUUUUUUCAUAGAUUCUAAUUCUCUUUUGAAAUACCCAGGUGUUAAUCGGACCUCUUUGUCCAUUCUUCUCUCUUUUUUAACUUAAUAACCGCCCGUAUUUUAAGCGCUUGCCGGCAGCUCCACUACGCAGAGCGUCGGUCAUGUGUCUGCUGAUUUUGUUGAACUCCUGUGCGGCGUUAGGUUCCGGUCCGGCAGGCGGUCGGGGUGGGGCAGAUCGCCUUGUCCCGCUUCAUCCUGGCUUUAGGCGUUAGCACAGGCCCACUGCAGUUUUGCGCUCAUGCCUAAGGUGCAUUUCUUCCUCUCAAGGGCGAGUUCCCCACCCGGGCAUCCACCCGCUGAACCGGCCGCAGGGGCCGCCUUUGGAGGGGGGAGGCCUGGGUUCCGCUCAGGACAGUGCAGCCAGUCUGCAGCCCUCUGUGGCCAGGCCAGGGCAUUCUUUCACUCCAGUACACCCAGAGGGAGGAGCAAGCGGGGGCUCCCGGUGCCCCUCACAGGGAUACUGGGGUCCCAUUUCCGCAUGCCACCCACUGGCACCACUGUGGCCCCAGUCAGGGAGACAAGGGCCCCCUCCCAGGCCAGAGCCCUUGCAAGGGCCUGCCCAGGCAUGGACCCCACCUGGAUGGCUUCCACCACCCCCUUCCCACCUGACCUCCCCUGAUGGCAGCUCCCCGGCGACUCCUCAGGGAACACAGCGGUCGCUGUGGGACUUGGCCACAAGCUAACCAAGGUACGCGCCCUCUCUGGCUGGGGCCCGACUCUCGGGACAGGUGAUGCUGGGCGGCUGAAUUCAUGAUCACGAGGCACAGGGUGUAGCUGGACGACUGGCAGUGUGGCAAAGUGACCCCCCGCCCCAGCCUCAUCAGUUCCCUCCCAACCUUGACCUAGCUCUUGGCACCUCUUUACAGCUCCCAGGAGGACUCAGUCCCCCCAGAUCUCUAUGAGUGAUGCUGACUUUCCCAAGGGCGCUGCAGGGGAGCUCGGCACCCCACCCACUCGCCCACCCCUGCCGCCAGAGGGCCACAGGUGCCAGCGCCUGGCCCCUUGCUCCGCCUGCUCUGGCCCAGACCCUCCUCCUCCUGCCCUUCCCUUUCAGAGCAACCAGGACCUGGCUGGGAAGAACCGGGCCAUUUUCCUGGUGUCUCUGUUUCCGGGAGGCGGAAGGGCUGGUGGCAGAAGUUCUGACUCUGUGCCAAGAAGAGGAAGGCGGGGGCUUCAGUGGAGACCGGCGAGGCUCCCUGGGAGGCAGACGACGAGCUUCUGCCCUUUGAGGGCCUGCCUGACAAGUGCUUUGAAAUGGGUAGGAGUCGUGGCCACCGCCAUGGGUAGGGAAGGGCGGCUGUGCCACUGAGGGGCUGGGAGCUGCAGCACUGCUGUCUACAUCUGCCUGCAGACAUGAUGUAGGGGUGGGGGUGACAGGGGGUGUCACACCCCUCAGGAGCCCCGCCUGCAAAGACCAGGAGCAAGAUUGCGGGGCCUUCCCAUCGUGGCUCAGUGGAAACCACCCUGACUGGCCCGCUGAGGACGCGGGUUCGCUGUUUGAUCCCUGGCCUCGCUCAGUGGGUUAAGGAUCCGCUGCCUAGAGCUGUGGUGUAGGUCGCAGACAUGGCUCAGGUCCUAUGUUGCUGUGGCUGUGGCACAGGCUGUAGCUCUGAUGAAACCCCCUAGCCUGGGAACCUCCAUAUCGGCGGGUGCGGCCCUAGAAAAGGCAAAAAGACAAAAAAAAAAAAAAAAAAAAAAAA
rnacentral:lncRNA from 9 species